AUCAACCAAUCAGCACAUAUGCAUAUUCAUAUCUUCUCCCCCUUUUUGUCAUAAUCAAAAAGCAAUAAUAAUAGAUUCACGUAGAGAAUGAUAAUCAAUAUCUUGCAUGAAUCACAAUUUCGAAAAAUCAGCUUUUAUCGAAUAUUAAAGAUAUGCAAUAUAGCUCACUUCGAUUAUAUCAGUAAAUAUCCAAUAAAAAUCACGGAUGCAUCAUAAAAUUCACGUACCAUUUUUGUCAUAAUAAAAUGAUAAUAUCAAUAUGAGAUUUGUUAAUGACAAAAGGUAAUAAGAGAUGCACUAACCGGAUUUUGUAGAAUAAAUUCUGACACAAUUACCUUUCCUUCCAUUCAUAAUAAGAUCACGAUCAAUCAAAAAAGAUUUUUCCAUAAUUGAUCAAAGCUCCCCCUCAAUUUGUUGCCUUUUUGAGAUGAUCACGAUUCUUUUCCUUUUCUUUUGGAUUCGAUUUCUCCCCCUUGAUUUCCUCAUUAGAUUCUGAGUCUUGUUCUGAAUCAGACUCUGAUUCUGAGUCUCUGUCUGAGUUAGACUCAGAUUCUGAAUGUGCCGUCAAGCAUAUAUUUCUUUGCACAUCAUCUUCUUCUUUUUUGUUCUUUUCUGGCCAUUCUGCUUGUAUUUUCUUCCAUCGAAAUAUGGUGGCCUUGUGUUGCUUUGCCCUUCCAUAAGACCUG
rnacentral:lncRNA from 1 species